GGAUGUGAGGGCAAUCUGGCUGUGACAUCUGUCACCCCAUUGAUCGCCAGAGUUGAUACUGCUGAUCUGGCUGGCAAGGCUUGGUGUCGCCUUCCUCCCUCAUCCGCUCCAUGUGUGUCCCUCCAGAAGCUGUGCACUCAGUUGAAGAGGACAGCCUUCCCUAAAUAGAGACAGACUAGUCUUAGGUUGAGGAUAUAUAGCUGUGCUCCCCUGCUAGAACCUCCAAACAAGCUCUAAAAUCAUGAAAUUCCAAAUUUAGAUCCAUUUACCUAAAUACAUACAUACAUUCAUACAAUUGUGAAAAUAAAUAAAUUACAGUUUGGAAUACUUU
rfam:Erinaceus europaeus unplaced genomic scaffold scaffold00330, whole genome shotgun sequence